GGUUUAAUGCUCUGCUGUCAGCGCUUUGAAAUUCUUACUAAUCUUUUUUUGGUGGAGAUGCCGGGGACGUAAUAAUU
rnacentral:pre_miRNA from 1 species